GGCUGGAGCGCCCCCGCCCCGCCAGAGCUCCUGGGCAUUUGGCCUGGGUGAAGAUGGAUGGAGAUCAGAUCUAGCAGCUGUGGGUAGACGAGGGUCCAGACGUGGAGCAAGGGCUAAUGAUCAGAUGGACUAUUGCGAUGAGCUUAACACCCUCAACCAAUCCGCCCUCAGCAUUCUCAACUACUUGGCACACCAUUUCAACUCCUAUCUAUCAGCAAACCUUGUGCUUCUUCCCAUUCUGAAGCCAUAAAUGGAUUCAUUGCUUCAAAAUGAAAACUGUCCAGGUAAACUUCCUGACCACAGCUCCAAGAAUUGUGGCCGUGGAGAAGCAAAAGGCUCAUUGUGGAUGGUUUCAUAUUGCAUCCUCCAGGAUCUGCUAGAGAUAGAGGGAGCAUGGGUAGCAGUGCACCCUGAGAGCUGAAAUUUCCCUAAUAUUCUCUAUGUCUACUGUACCAGAAUUAGAAAGAUCAGGGGUGUAGGAAGAGGUCUUGUUUCAACUUUCU
rnacentral:lncRNA from 1 species